rnacentral:SRP_RNA from 1 species
GCUAGGUAUGGUGGAGCCUGCCUGUAGUCCCAGCUACUUGGGAAGCUGAGGCAGGAGGAUGGUUUGAGCCCAGGAGUCCAAGGCUGCAGUGAGCCAUGAUCACACCAUUGCACUCUAGCCUGGGUGUCAGAGUAAGAUCCUGUUUCUU